rnacentral:tRNA from 7 species
GCCGGUGUAGCUCAGUGGUAGAGCAACUGUCUUGUAAACAGUAGGUCGUCGGUUCGAUCCCGACCUCCGGCU